rnacentral:lncRNA from 1 species
GUCAGUCACGAUGCAGAGGCGGGCCUGGAGGGCAUCCAUCCCGGAUGCUGGGGGAACUGCCCAAUCAGUGCGCAGAGGGAGAGGAAGGGCGGGCUUCCGAAAUCUCCUUUGCUUUUCUUCCUCAGGGACUGGGCUUCUCAUCCUUCAGGCCCAGAGUUCUCUGCUCAAGGGUCUCAGGUGACGCUGCUGCCUGUGACCCCCCCACACCCCCAUCUCGGGUGCCUGAGGUUCCUCGAGAGGACGCCGGGUCACCACAGAAGACAAAAAUGGCACCCAGGUGACUUUGUGCAGCCUGUUUCCCUGGGGACUUCGGAUGCCCAGAGGUUCUACCAGAGGACGCCGGGUCACCACAAAAGACAAAAAUGGUGAGUCUGCAACCAGGGCUGAAUGUAGGCGGUCAGCACCUGCCUUGGGGCCCUGUGCGCGGGUGAGCAGCAGAGCGCCUAGGAGUCCCCGCUGGCGAG